AAUUUCAGUACAAAAACCACGUCUACAAAAACUUUUCAUCAAGAAAUGAGAGAUUUGGCAAAAUUGUUUUUCCAUUUGGCAAAUUUUUAUGCACAAGUUAUAUUCACGCAAUUUUCAUCUGCACAAAAUUUUGACAAAACAGAAGUGUGUAACAUCAGUUUUUCCAUUAAAUCACAAAUGCGAUGAUUUGUUUAUUUAUUAUUGUGAGAUGACAUGAGACAUCAUUCCAUAAACAUGAUGACGAACGUAAAUAUAGUGUUCAUUUACAGAUAUGUCUGGGAUUCUGUAUUUACCCUCUGUCUGCGACUAAAUUCUAAACUGAUGUGAUGUCCUGCUGUGUCCACACACACACACACACACACACACACACACACACACACAGGUUUUGGGUUCAGCUCUUCUCCUGUUCUAACAUCCACCAACAUGUUUUUUGUUUUUCUUCCUUCAUGUGACUCCAGUUGCACAAAAAGGUCUUUCCAUUACAGUUUUGCACAAUACACCAGUUUCCCUACGAAAAACCACCUCUAACAAGAACAAAAACCUUUCAUCAAGAAAUGAGAGAUUUGGUGAAAUUGUUAUUUUUCCAUUGGGCAAAUUUUUAUACACAAGUUAUAUUCAUGCAGUUUAAGUGUCGGUGGAAAAGCGACUAUUGUGACGGAACGCAGACGUCGACAGCACACGUCCUCUUUUAUCUGUCCUCUGUUUGGAACGACGGCUGCUUCUCUGGUUCCACUCAUAGACCCAAAAACACAGAGCCAACAUACGAACAUACGACAGAACCUCCGUUCAGGAUCCAACAUGGACAGAGCUGGUGCAUACCUUCACUUUCUGUUUACUGCAGAUCCACCGUGUUCGUCCGUGGGCCAGAUGUGAAGACGUUCCUGUUCAGUGUUUACUGUCCGUUCCAUUUGGGUGACAGCAGCCUCGACCUUUGACCUCUGACCAUGUAAAUGUUUUCAGUUUAUCCGUGAAUCAGAGUGAACAUUUGUGCCAUAUUUGAAGACGUUCUGUUCAGCGUUCCUGGGAUGUUUUCAUUUCCAAUAAACCCUCUGUUUUAUGGA